AAAGCGGAAUCUUCAUAAGGCUGCUUCCUAGCUAUGUUUGGGAGCGGAGCUCACCCAAAGCUCAAGGCCGGAGUGAUGUCCUGUUUAUGAAUAACUUUUUGUACUCUUCCAGUGUCUUCACCUGACCUUGCUACAUUAGUAUUGCAAGCUGAAAACUUUCUUCUGACUAUUCCCUUCGUUGGUAUCUAACCCAUCAGAACCUGGGAUUAGUGAUUGUGUCUAUUUAUUUUAUAGUCAUAGCAAUCUCAUGAGCACAAUAAGCAUAUCAUGUAAUAAUAAGAAUCCCUCACCAAAUGUUAUAUAAAAAUAGACUUCCAA